rnacentral:rRNA from 1 species
GAUGAACGCUGGCGGCGUGCCUAAUACAUGCAAGUCGAGCGAACGGACGAGAAGCUUGCUUCUCUGAUGUUAGCGGCGGACGGGUGAGUAACACGUGGAUAACCUACCUAUAAGACUGGGAUAACUUCGGGAAACCGGAGCUAAUACCGGAUGAUAUUUUGAACCGCAUGGUUCAAAAGUGAAAGACGGUCUUGCUGUCACUUAUAGAUGGAUCCGCGCUGCAUUAGCUAGUUGGUAAGGUAACGGCUUACCAAGGCAACGAUGCAUAGCCGACCUGAGAGUGUGCUCGGCCACACGGGAACUGAGACCGCGCCAACACCCCGAGGGGGGGCCGCAGGGGGAAUUCUUCCGAAAGGGGCAAAGGCCGAACGGAGCACCCCGGCGGGAGUAAGAAAGGUUUUGGUAUCUAAAACCUUUUUUAUGGGGAAAAAAAAUAUGGGAAAGAAUCUGUGCACAUCUUCCCGUUCCCUAAUCAGAAGCCCAGGGCAACUUCCGGC